AAUCUUGCGCAAUGGGCGAAAGCCUGACGCAGCGACGCCGCGUGAGGGACGAAGGCCUUCGGGUCGUAAACCUCUGUCCUUGGGGACGAUGAUGACGGUACCCAAGGAGUAAGCCCCGGCUAACUACGUGCCAGCAGCCGCGGUAAUACGUAGGGGGCGAGCGUUAUCCGGAAUUACUGGGCGUAAAGGGUGCGUAGGCGGCCUUUUAAGUCAGAUGUGAAAGGCUACGGCUUAACCGUAGUUAGCAUUUGAAACUAGAAGGCUUGAGUGCAGGAGAGGAGAGUGGAAUUCCUAGUGUAGCGGUGAAAUGCGUAGAUAUUAGGAGGAACACCAGUGGCGAAGGCGACUCUCUGGACUGCAACUGACGCUGAGGCACGAAAGCGUGGGGAGCAAAC
rnacentral:rRNA from 1 species